GAUGAACGCUGGCGGCGUGCUCAACACAUGCAAGUCGAACGGUGAACGAGGGAGCUUGCUCCCUCCGGAUCAGUGGCGAACGGGUGAGUAACACGUGAGCAAUCUGCCCUGGACUCUGGGAUAAGCGUUGGAAACGACGUCUAAUACCGGAUACGAGGCGUGGGGGCAUCCCCAACGCCUGGAAAGAACUUCGGUCCAGGAUGAGCUCGCGGCCUAUCAGCUAGUUAGUGAGGUAACGGCUCACCAAGGCGACGACGGGUAGCCGGCCUGAGAGGGUGACCGGCCACACUGGGACUGAGACACGGCCCAGACUCCUACGGGAGGCAGCAGUGGGGAAUAUUGCACAAUGGGCGCAAGCCUGAUGCAGCAACGCCGCGUGAGGGACGACGGCCUUCGGGUUGCAAACCUCUUUUAGCAGGGAAGAAGCGAAAGUGACGGUACCCGCAGAAAAAGCACCGGCUAACUACGUGCCAGCCGCCGCCGUAAAAC
rnacentral:rRNA from 1 species